UUGCUGGGAUGACUAUCUUAGGACACCUUUGGAUUAACCAUGAAAAAAAACUGUGUUCUGAGCAAC
ensembl:snoRNA SNORD58 Small nucleolar RNA SNORD58